AACACAGAAGUGUGCCAGCUUCAUUUGAUGUGGAUGUACCAGAUAUUCAUGUGUCAGAAAUACUGAGAAAGCCUGGGAAGAAAGAGAGGCUGGAAUGUAUUGCUUUAGUGGAAUAUGUCUCCAUGGGCUGGCAAUACGAAAGAUGUGAAGGACUUCCUGUGUGGCUGACGAUCUGAAGGGAAGAGCCACAGAAGGCCCUGUGUGCAGAGUUUCAUUGCAGACAUGAGAGUGAUGGCCAUAUGUACUUGCAAAGAAUGAGGAAAGGUCGGUGACCUACAAGCCAGGAAAAAACUCCAUCAAGGGGAAGAGCAGCAAAGAACAUCUAAUUGCAAGUACAUCCUAAAUACCCCUCCAUUUUGCUGCUGUGAUAAA
rnacentral:lncRNA from 1 species